AGGGUUUGAUCAUGGCUCAGAACGAACGCUGGCGGCAUGCUUAACACAUGCAAGUCGAACGGAGACCCGGAGCUUGCUCCGGAAUUCUUAGUGGCGAACGGGUGAGUAACGCGUAUACAAUCUGCCUCAUACUAGGGAAUAGCCCGAAGAAAUUUGGAUUAAUGCCCUAUAGUAUCUUUUUAAGGCAUCUUAUUAAGAUUAAAGGUUACGGUAUGAGAUGAGUAUGCGUUCUAUUAGCUAGUAGGUGUGGUAACGGCACACCUAGGCUACGAUAGAUAGGGGCCCUGAGAGGGGGAUCCCCCACACUGGUACUGAGACACGGACCAGACUCCUACGGGAGGCAGCAGUAAGGAAUAUUGGUCAAUGGACGAAAGUCUGAACCAGCCAUGCCGCGUGCAGGAUGACUGCCCUAUGGGUUGUAAACUGCUUUUAUAUAGGAAGAAAAACUUUCUCGUGAGAAAGCUUGACGGUACUAUAAGAAUAAGGAUCGGCUAACUCCGUGCCAGCAGCCGCGGUAAUACGGAGGAUCCAAGCGUUAUCCGGAAUCAUUGGGUUUAAAGGGUCCGUAGGUGGACAAAUAAGUCAGAGGUGAAAUCCUGCAGCUCAACUGUAGAACUGCCUUUGAUACUGUUUGUCUUGAGUUAUUAUGAAGUGGUUAGAAUGUGUAGUGUAGCGGUGAAAUGCAUAGAUAUUACACAGAAUACCGAUUGCGAAGGCAGAUCACUAAUAAUCAACUGACACUGAUGGACGAAAGCGUGGGUAGCGAACAGGAUUAGAUACCCUGGUAGUCCAUGCCGUAAACGAUGUGUGUUAGACGUUGGAAAUUUAUUUUCAGUGUCGCAGCGAAAGCGAUAAACACACCGCCUGGGGAGUACGACCGCAAGGUUAAAACUCAAAUGAAUUGACGGGGACCCGCACAAGUAGUGGAGCAUGUGGUUUAAUUCGAAGAUACGCGCAGAACCUUACCAACACUUGACAUGUUCGUCGCGACUUUAAGAGAUUAAAGUUUUCGGUUCGGCCGGACGAAACACAGGUGCUGCAUGGCUGUCGUCAGCUCGUGUCGUGAGAUGUUGGGUUAAGUCCCGCAACGAGCGCAACCCACGUUUUUAGUUGCCAGCAUUUAGUUGGGCACUCUAGAAAGACCGCCGGUGAUAAACCGGAGGAAGGUGUGGAUGACGUCAAGUCAUCAUGCCCCUUACACCCUGGGCUACACACGUACUACAAUGCUACGGACAAAGGGCAGCAAACUCGCGAGAGCUAGCAAAUCCCAUAAACCGUAGCUCAGUUCAGAUCGUAGGCUGCAACUCGCCUACGUGAAGUAGGAAUCGCUAGUAAUCGCAGGUCAGCAUACUGCGGUGAAUACGUUCCCGGGCCUUGUACACACCGCCCGUCACACCAUGGAAGUUGGCCAUGCCCGAAGUC
rnacentral:rRNA from 1 species